AUGUGUCCUCAAGCCGUCCACCCGUUUGAUUUCUGGACCCAUAUUUUAAUGGUUCUCUUGCAGGAAGUUGGUGACAAGUUAGUAGAACUUAUAGAAAUGCCGCUUUCAUUAGACAAUGACAUGCCAAAGACGCCACUGCCUAAGUUUUUAUUACAAUUGGUCGAGCUACAACGAGUGCGUCUGAUUCCAACUCAUCAAGGCGAGCUCCCUCUUUUAUUCUUCUCAGGUGUUGGUCAGGAGCUGAUUGCCGGGACUGAUGACAAGAACGGAGAGCAGGAUGAGUAUGUCAACAUGAUGUUCCUUGAUGUUGGCCUUCUUUUAUAA
rnacentral:rRNA from 1 species